GACGGAGGGUGCAAGCGUUGUUCGGAAUUACUGGCGUAAAGCGCGGGCAGGUGGCCUUUUAAGUCCUUUGUGAAAUUUCGGGGCUCAACCCCGAACUUGCAGUGGGUACGGGCAGACUAGAGUGUGGUAGGGGAGACUGGAAUUCCUGGUGUAGCGGUGAAAUGCGCAGAUAUCAGGAGGAACACCGAUGGCGAAGGCAGGUCUCUGGGCCACUACUGACGCUGGAGGAGCGAAA
rnacentral:rRNA from 1 species